rnacentral:lncRNA from 1 species
UAGUGGACGGACGGUGGUGGUGGAGGUGAGUUGUAGUAAACAGGUGAUGGCGGAGGAGUGUAAUGUACGGUCGGAGGCGGAGGUGGAGGUGGUGAGUGAUCUAUGCAAGGUGGCGGAGGGGAAUAUACUGGCGUUGGUGGAGGUGGUGGGGAUGGAUAGUGAUAAACCGGUGGUGGUGGUGAGUGCGGUGGUGGAGGUAACCAGUAAUGUGGCGGCGGAGGGGGUGAGCUGUAAUAGUAAGGGGUUGGUGGUGGUGAAAAUUGAGGUGGCUGUGAGGGAGAUGGUUGUGGUGGGUCUUGCGGAGCUGUAUNNNNNNNNNNNNNNNNNNNNNNNNNNNNNNNNNNNNNNNNNNNNNNNNNNNNNNNNNNNNNNNNNNNNNNNNNNNNNNNNNNNNNNNNNNNNNNNNNNNNUAUUAAAAAAAUUAUUUAAUAAAAUAUUUAAUUACCAUUUCCAAACUGACACCGGCGUGGGGUUUUUGGCCCGUAGUGUGAAGCAUCGGCCCGUUCCCGUGCUCAUCGACUGUGUUACGGGAGUUAGAGCAAGACUGGGCGAUUCUAAUGGAAUCAGGAAGACGCCAAUAACGGAUGAGGCCAUCCCACACAUCCGUGGUGAGCUCAGCGGGUUUGCCACGCUCAUACCCCUUCACGAUCCAGUCACCCUUCCAGUUGGAGACCGUGUCCAACAAGCGAACUUUCGCUUUCGCGUUAAACUUCUUCCUCACCCUCUCAGUGAUCCCCAAGGCCCAAUUAUAUUUUUGCUGUUGGAAAAAAUAAAUUAACAAUUAGUUUUUUAGAAAGUAUAUAUAUAAAUCAUGAAAAAAUUAAAAUAUAUAUAAUUAAUUAAUAGAAACUUACAGCGUAAAUUUUGAACCACGUCUUUCUGACGUAGUGAGGCGUCUUACUCCAGUUUGGAUGUGCCAUGGAGAAGUAACCCUUGAUCGUGUCGGUUACGUACGAUCCAAGACAUCCGUCAACCCCCCACCUGGAAAAUACAAAUUUAAAAUAUAAAUUAUUUUUUAAUGUUAUAAAAGAAAUUUAAACGAAUUAAAAAAAAAAUUAAUGCAACAUACCACAACGUUCCGUCCGGGGAGGGUAUUUUAUUCGUUAAUUUUGAUUCUAUUCGUUAUUCAUUUAUGGAUAUCCGUAAAUUUUUGAAGCAAACAAAUAUUAAAAACCAUCUUUAUAUAUUAUCGGAGAAGUAAUUGUUAAAAAAAAAAUAUUUUCUUAUGUGUCGCAUUCACGUUAAUUCUUACAAUGGUUAUUUAAAAAUAUAAUCUUAAUAAAUUAAAAUAUUACAUAUAAUUAUUAUAAUUAUAAUUUUAUUUUAUAAUUUUUGUCAACUAUAUUUUAAUUUUAAUUUUCUUUUUCUAUUUUCCCAAAUAAGAUAUAUAAUAAAAACAAAUAUUAAAAUAAAAACAAAAAAAUAUUUACAAAAGGAAAACAUAUUAUAGGAAAAUAUAUUUUAUAAACAUAUGAGUCAUAUGAUAUGAGCAUGAAAAUGUACUAUAUAUAUAUAAUGUAAUUUCAUAAAAAGGAAAGUUUACAAAAAGCAAGUUUGAAAUUAAAAAGGAAAUAAUAAUCUCUUUAAAAUAUACUCUUAAACAACAUAAGAUAUGUUAUAAAAGUAAGAAAAUAUUUUCUUUAUAUCAAAUCUAUUUUAUCAUAUGAUUAAAAAGUAACUUAAAUUACUAUAUAUUUUAAAAGUAAGAAAAUAUUUUCUUUAUAUCAAAUCUAUUUUAUCAUAUGAUUAAAAUAUAUUUGUUAAGUAUAUAAAAGAUAUUUGGCAGAUCUUAAUUGGCCAAAUGACUUGCGAUUUAGUAUCUAUUUAUAAUAAUAAAGUAGAAGAGAAAGACUCCACAAUGCGCCACAUCACCCUUCAUAUCCCUUUUCUCGACACAUGUCGAGCAAGAGAGACAACUUCUUAUUCUUUCUGAAUCUGUUCGUUUAGUGCAAAGCAUUGAUGGACUCUAGUUAUUUUUGGGUCCUUCUUACUUUCAUAACUGUGGUACGCUUUGGCAGGGUUAGAUCAAUUUUGUCUUCCCCUUCCUCUUCGGCCCAAUAACCCUAUCGUUUGCCAUGGUCUCCGAUUAGAUUUUCUGUAAUGUUUUCUCUUUUUCUUGAACACAUGCUUUAAUUCAGUCAUUAAACUCCACCUCACCUCUCCUCUCACUCCGCCUCAUUUAUUCAGGUUUACGAACGAUUUCUGUAACAUAUACAAGCUCGACCUAUAAAUAAGUCUUAUGGAAUCGAUGAAGACCUACACCGUACAUAUAUCUUACAGCCUAACCAUCUCACGCAUCACCAUUAUCGGUUUUAAUCAUUCCAAAAAGUGUUCCCCUGCCGUUUUCAAUGUUUGUUUGCUCUUAUGGUGCAUCUAAAUCUGAACAUAACAGAUUAUUAUUAAAUUAAAAAAAACAGUUUCACGUUCAAAUUUGUUUAUCUUUGAGAAUUGACUUAAGAGAUUAACCUUACGCUCCAUUAUACCAAUGGUAAAAAUUCCCUUAUAAUAGGAAAAAUAAACCUAUUAUACGAAUGUCACCAUUGGAACAUCGCCUCAUCUCUAAAAACAGUUUCAAGGAGAUAUAUCCCAAAAACUCGCAGCCAACAAAAAGACAACAACAAAGAUAGCUAUUGUAAGAAGCAGUUGAAUCUAAAUCAAUUGAUUAUGUACAUUCUCUAAGAGCACAACAAAGUCAGAGACUCAGAGUUUCUACAUGAAACAAGAAUAAUAUAACACCAAAACUGGAUUUAAGUUUACCUUAUCGGCUUAGUGUUGCAUAUCAUUGUCAAUACACUCUUUCAGCUACAACCAAAACAUAAUAAUAAUAAAAUGUUAAGCCUCCAAAUAAAAACAUAAAGAUUUUAAAAUUUAGGCAAUGAUAUAUUGAUGAGUAGAACAUUAUCUUUUACAACACAGUUAUCUUUACAAUACAACUAUUUAUCACUAAUCCUCAAGUAAACAAUCUCAUUACCUGCCACAACGAUUUAAAUAAACAAGAUUAAAGCAUAAGUUGCAUGGUUAAAGAGUCUCCGAUUUAAAAAAAAAAUAUUUUACUAAAUACAUAUUCAACAAAUUAUAAUAAAUUUGAUUUAUUAAUGUAUACUAAAUAUUUUACAUAAGUAAUUUUUAAAUAUUACAGAAGUCAUUUUUAACUACAAUAAUAAACUUACCUUUUUAUAAAUUGAAAAUCUAAUAUAAACUGAAACAAACAUAUAUUAUAAAACAUCAUUUGUUGUUACAUAAUAUGUACUAAUUAUUAUUUAUGACAUUGUUGAAAUUAUUUGUCUAUUAUUUUAAAAAUUAAAUUUUAUAAUUUUAUCACAUUAUAUUUGAUUUUCAAUGAUUUGGCUUGGAGUUGGUGUAUUAAUUUAUUAUUGUCAAAAAUUAUUACUUUAUUUUUUUUUCAACUAUAUGAAAUUAGUUAUUGAAAAAUCUGAUACUCUUAGGAAAAAGUAGCUAUUCUUACUUUAUAUUUUUCCAACUAUAUGAAAUUGAAAUAGAAAUCAAACAAAAAUAUAUAAAUCAUUUUAUUUUCCUUAAUUUUUUAUUUAAUAAUUUUGUGUUCUCUAACAAAAAUAUUGUUAGUGGUCAACUCAAACCAACAAAAUAAAAUUUACAAUAUGCGAGGGCUAAUAAAUAAGAAGCCGAGAAUUUCUACAAACAACAUGCAAGGGAUAAUAAACAAGGCAGUGAAGAACAUGAUUAGUUCACUCCAUUACAAGCCAAAUUAUAAGCUGGAGGGGUUAUUAAGAAGAUGGUUUGAAGUAACAACUUAUGAGUAGUUUUUACAUCUACAGAAGAGCUUUUCAGUUCUUAAAAGAGUUUGAUUCGUAUAUAACAUUCUUUUGAUAGUUCAAUAAAUUUGAUAUUUCAUCAAAAAAUAAUUACCAUAUGAUCUUAGAAUAAAAACAGAUUAUAUUUAUUAUUUUCAAUAUAAAAUAAAGUUUCAAUGAUUUAUAAUAUUUAAAUAUAAAUAGUUUUAAUGUAAACUCACCCGUCCGUAGGGCGGGCCAACCCCUAGUAUAAAAUAUAUUUUGAGAGAGUUACAUAUUUAGACACAUUUUUUCUUUCUUCAUACUCAAUUAGACACUUUAUGUUUGUAGGAUACAAUUGCUGGUUUCGAUGCAAUAUUGAAACCAUAAUACCCUUCUGCCAAUACCCUUCUGAGGAAACAAGAUUGGAUGCCGUAAGGGAAAGCAUAAAGGUAGUUUAUUAGUUGUUUUAUUAGUUUAGUUGACAUAUUAAUUGGUUAUGUAUUUCCCCAAUAUAUUUUAUUGGUCACUAUUGCAAAUUAUAAUGUAUAAAAUUUUAUAUUUAUGCGUAAACAAAUUAUUAUUUUUUCUCUUGUACAUUUUGAUGUCCAUAAUGUAUAUAUUUCUUGUUAAAUUUAUAAUAUAUAUGUAUAUAUAUAUACGGAUGGUGCAGUCGUGGAUGGGAGAUAUGUAAACGUGUGGAGAGGUUUCGUGGACGAAUUUUCGUGGACGAGGUUUUUAAUCUUACAGAUUUUGUAGACGAGAUUUCGUGGACGAAGUCUUGUGGAUGGUUUUAGUGGGUUAUAAGUUCAUCAUUUUCAAAAAAAGAUGAUCAAGCUUUCUUUCAUAUAUAGUAAAUUUAUCAUCAAAAGGACAAUAACUAAUUUCAAAUUGACCAAAAAAUUGUAACUUAAGUUUUUUUAACGGAGUUCCAUGGAUGAGAUUGUGUGAAUGAGGUUUGUGAACGAAGUUUCAUCAACAAAGUUUCCAAACGUAUCAACCUCUGUAUCUACUACCACCUUCGUAUCCAUAACCACCACAACCUCCACUCCGGUAUCCACAGCCACCUCCACUAUACCACCACCAACUCCACCUUUCAAAGAACCACAUCCACCACCAUUGUAUCCACGAGUGUCUUGUAUCUACCCUCACGUUUUCCAUCUCCGUAACCACCUCCUCCAUUACCGCCACAGCCUCCACUGGAUCUAUCUUCUUCAUCAUCAAAGAGAUUGAAGUGACUAACAACUCAGAAAUCUUAGGAACUACUUGCUGCGGCGGCUUCUACGGUGGUAGAAGCAGCAGCAAUGGCAUCCUCCAUGUUCUCACAAAACUUGAUUGAACUGGUUUUUUUUUUUUUUUGCGUGCUUGAUUCUUCAGCAUAUGUUAAACCUGAUUAGAUAAUCUGGAAACAAGAAAAANNNNNNNNNNNNNNUUUUUUGCGUGCUUGAUUCUUCAGCAUAUGUUAAACCUAAUUAGAUAAUCUGGAAACAAGAAAAAAAGGGAAAUUUACGACGACACAAGUAACCACUAACACUUUGAAUUAAUAUGGACAAAGAUUUCGCAAUGGAAUAUGAAUUGGGAAAUGAAAAAAUUAAAGUUCUGGAAAAAGAUAAACAAUUAGUUCGCAACGAGAUAAAUAUGCUUUAGAUUGAUAAGAAAAAGAAAAAACAAUUAAUGAAACAAAUUGUUUUCUUACGUAGAAAGAGAUCAACUUGGUUAAAGGGUAUGGUCGUAAAAGCAUCUUCAGAAAGUGCUCUUCAAGCACUAUGGCCUUAGAGUGUAAUUGCAAAGUGAAAUUGUAUCUUCAAAAAGUGCUCUUCAAGCACUAUGGCCUUAGAGUGUAAUUGCAAAGUGAAAUUGUAUCUUUGACCGUAAUUUUCUCAUAUAUUUUUUUAAGUAAUUUAGGGAUAUUGAAAGUCAAAAUGGAUCAGCAAGAUUUUAUGGUAAGGAUACGAUAGGGCUGAUAUUCUUUUAAUAAAACUAGAUCUCGACCCGCGCAACCGCGCAGGUUUUUUUCAUUUAUUUUUAUAUAAAUAUUUUGUUUUCAUUUCUAAAUUUUUAUAUAUUAUAAUAUAUAUGUGUCAAUCAAUUUUUAAAACAUAAUAAGUUUACGGUAUAUUUUUCAUUGAAUAGAUUGUUUCAAACUUUCACAUGUAUUUGUAUAUAUAUAUAUAUUUUUUCGGAUUAUUAUUUCAUUAUUAAAAUCGUAACUAUAUAUAUAAAGAUUAGUAAAAUAUUGUUUUAUUGUCAUAUUCAAAAAUAUUGUAACAUUUCACAAAUUUAGAAAGUUUUUAAAAAAUUAAACUUUUCGCUUCAUAGAUUUAUAUUAUCCAGUAAAUAAUUAAAAAUUUAGUUUUUAUUUAAUUUUUAAAUUAACUAUAUAGUUUAAAAUUUAUUUUCAUUGGUUUAAGGUAGUAAAGAUUAAUCAUUGUUAGAUAAUAUAAUUUUUUGUUAUUUAAAAAAAAAUCUUUAUAAUUUUAAAAGCUAACAUCGACAAAUAUUUAAAUAAUUAACAUAUGAAAAUAUAGUAUUACAACAUUAAAUUAUAUCUAUUUAAUUUAUACUCUAUAUAAAUCCAAUGAAUAAUCGAUUGUUUAAAUCUAAUUAUUGAUAGCCCAAUAAAAAUUUCUGGUAAAUAUUUCUGGUAGGCCCAAAAUUUAAAUGAUAAGAUUAUAGAUUAAAUGUAACAUUAUUUUCUAAGAAUAGAUCGAUUAGGUCUAUUUUUUUAAAAAAAUCACACAUGAAUCAAGGUUGUGACUUCUGUUUUAAUAUAUAACUAGAUUUUGAUCCACACAACCUGCGUGUAUAUACUUUCAUGUUUAUAUAUAGAUAUUUGUUUUACACAAUUUUUUUCUGUCAACCAUUUUACACAAUUAAUAUACAUUUUGAAUGUUACUCACAUAUUUAAAUAUUUGUAUAAUUAUUUCAAAUACAAUAAUUUUAUAGUUUUUAUGUUAAAAAUUCAAAUCAUCACAUAUAUAUGUUGCUUUUUAUUAUAUAUUUGUCCUAUUAAAUUUGCGUUUGAUUAUUAAACUAAUUUUUUAUGCAUAAAAUAACAUAUUUUAAAAUUAUUUUAUAUAUAAUUUAUUUUGAUCGUAACUCGUGAUUCAAAGCGUUAGAUUUUCUUUAGCAAUUUAUUCAUUUUAUAUAAUAAUUUACUAUAUAUAAAAAUGUUUAGAGAAGUUAACUUUUUAUUCAUGUAUUAUAUAGUUUACUAAUGUUAACCCGUUCUACCAACAUAUUAUUUUUUUAGCAUAAAUAUUUUAUAUUUAUUAAAAAAUAUAUAUUAACUUUUAAAUUUAAAUAAUUUUAUCAUAUUUACUUCAAUAUAAUGGUUUUAUUUUAAAAUAAUAGAUAUUAUUAUAAAAUAGAUAAAAUAGGAUAUAAUUUUAUUCUUUUCAUUUUAUAAAAUAUAGCUGAAUAUAUAUUAAUAUAUAAUAACAUUUCAUUACUAAUUACGAAAUUAGUGAAAAUAUUUAUAUUCAAUUUUUGACAAUUAGAUCUUGUUAUAAUCUUUUUGAACAGAUUUGUUAGAAUUUAUAUAUAUAAAUUAAAAAAUAUCAAAAGAAAUUAUGAUUAAAGUAUUUAAAAAAUUAUAUAUUAUUAGCAUUAAGGAUAUACAUUUAAUUAAAAAUUAAAUGAUGGUCUAAAUAAAAAUAUCACACAUAAAAGAAGUCAUGACUUUUAUUUUAAUAGAAUAGAUAUAUAUAUAUAUAUAUUUAAAAUAUUAAAAUAGAAAUAAAUAUUUAUUUCUAAAAAAAUCUUUUAAAAAUAUUAGUAAAGUAUAUUUUGAAAUUAAUCAAUUUCAUUUUUUUUAUUAUGAUUGAAUAUAAUUAAAAAAAAAAAAAUUUAAUUUUUGUUUAUAAAUCAAAACAAAAUUCAGUUUUAAUUUCUAAUUAUAUUUUAUGAUAAUUUAAAUUAAAGCUAACUUAUUUUCAAAAGUAAAUUUAAAAAGAUUCUAAAAAGAUUUUUAAGAGAUUUCGUUAGAACAUUUUAAAUAUAUCCAUUUGUAUUUCAAAAAAAAAGAUAUUUCGUAAAAAAUGAAAAAAAAAUGCAAAGGACAGGAUCGAACCCGGGUUAGUAUGACAUAAAUAUAGAGCAUAUACCGCUAAGCCAUUGAAACUUUCUUGAACACAUAUACAAGAAUCACUAAAUAUGUAAUCACAAACUCUUAUGUACAUUUACAAUAAUAUGGAUUCAACUUUCAAGACUUCGAUAUUUUGUUUUGUAAAAAAAAUAAGAAAGUGACUAAGCUAAUAUAUUCUUUGAAAGUGUGAGAACAUUGACAAAUAUGAAAAAGCAUAGAUUUUUGUUUUCGUGACAAAGUUAAGACUUUUGUAAAAGUAAGUUUACAUAAGCUUGCUUUCCCCGAUUCUAUAUACACAAGAUUCUAUAUACACAAAUAAAUAUAAUAUAACAACAUAAGCUUGCUUUCCCCGAUUCAUAUGAAAACUUUUUAAGUUAUCCACCAAAGCAAAUUAAUUAAAUCAAUCAAAUUGUUAGAAUACAACAAAUUAAUAUAUAAUUUUAUUUUAAAUUAAAUUAUUUAAAAGUGUAUUUUCAUUAAAAAUAAAAUAAUAAAAAAGUAAAACUGAUUUGAUGGUAAUUUUUAUGACACAUAUAUAUAUAUAUUAUGUGAAAGAAAUAUAAGCUUAAUAUGGAAAAAAAUCUUAAAUACAAAAAAUCCUUAAAUUAACAAAAAAAACUAAUAAAAAUUAAACUAUGAUAUCAAUUGAAAGCUUCUUAGACAAUAUUAAUAAAAUAUUUAAACGAUAAUUAGACAAAUUUAAUUUUUUUUUGCCAGCCAAAAGUGUAUUAUUAAUUAGCAUCAGUUAUUUCAAGAUGUUUAAGAAAGGAUGGACUUAAAUGAUAUAUGAACUAUGAAUAGUAGUACUUUGUAAAGCUGACUUAGAUAACACAUCUGCACAUCAUUUCCAAUCCUUUUUGAUGCCUAAAUUCAAUUUCUUCAGAGCAGUUAUUCCACAAAGAGAUCGUAUGAGAUAUUGUUUUGAUAUUCAGAUUUGUUUCUUGAAUGUUAAGAAGAUUGAUAACUGUAAAAAUGUCUCCUUCGAAUAUUAUAUGUCUAUAACCGAAUCUCCAACAUGAGACAACUUUGUUUAAAAAGUAAAUAAUUUUAUUUUUCUUAUAUUAUAUAAUAAAUAUAUAUUAUUUACUGAUAAUAAAAAUAUAAUUAUUCAUCUAUCACAAAUAUCUAUGCAAAUAUGUGAAUCAAGUACAACAAUCAAACAACAUAAUGAUUUCCACAAAGAAAAUUUAAAAAAUAUAUUUAUGUUAUGUAGUCUUAUUUUAUAUUCUUUAAAUAAUGUAAUACAAUAUUAUACAUUAUUUUUUUAGAAUUGAGAAAUACAUAUAUAUCAGUUAGACAAAUUAAGCAAUAAUUAGACAAUUUUGACUCUUUUUUUGCCAGCCAAAAGUUUAUUAUUAAUUAGCAUCAGUUAUUUCAAGAUGUUUAAGAAAAUAUGGACAAAAAAUAGGAUGGACAUAAAUGAUAUAUGAAUUAUGAAUAGUACUUUGUAAAACUGACUUAGAUAACACAUAUGCACAUCCAUUUUCAGUCCUUUUUGAUGCUUAAAUUCAAUUUCUUCAUAGCAGUUAUUCCACAAAGAGAUCGUAUGAGAUAUUGUUUUGAUAUUCAGAUUUGUUUCUUGACUGUUAAGAAGAUUGAUAACUGUAAAAUGUCUCAUUUGAAUAUGAUAUGUCUAUAACCGAGUCCCUACAUCAGACAAGUUUGUUUUAGAAGAAUAUAAUUUUAUUUUUCUUAUAUUAUAUAAUAAAUAUAUAUUAUUUACUGAUAAUAAAAAUAUAGUUAUUCAUCUAUCACAAAUAACUAUGCAAAUAUGUGAAUCAAGUACAACAAUCAAACAACAUAAUGAUUUCCACAAAGAAAAUUUAAAAAAUAUAUUUAUGUUAUGUAGUCUUAUUUUAUAUUCUUUAAAUAAUGUAAUACAGUAUUAUACAUUAUAUUUUUUUUGAAUUGAGAAAUACAUAUAAUAUCUUAUCCGCGCGUAGCGCGGUUAAAAAAUCUAGUCUUUAUAAGUUUGUGAAAACUAGACAAACGAGACUUCUCUAUUUUCUUUAUAUUAUCUUUAUAAGUUUUAUUGCUUUUGCAAGUGUUCUCGUUGGGCCUAAUGAUAUGGGCUACUGGGCCUUGUCACAGAUUGAGUGUGGGUGGGGCAUUAUGACUGUGGUUUGCCACGUGAAAGAUACUCCCUUCCCGCAAAUUUAGGGAUUUUUGGUCAACUAAACUAAUUUCACUUUUCUCUUUCAGAAAGAAUAAGAAAAACACAAGGAGACAUAAAUUUCAAAUAUUUUGUUUCUAGUGUAUUUCUCAAGCUUCGUUGUUAUUUAUUGAUAAGUUUAUUUUAUUAGUGUACUUCUCAAGUUCUCGAUUGCUUUUUAAACGGCUUCUCCUUCCUCUUUUUGUUUACGUAAACUUAACUUAUACUGUAAUUUAUUUAUUUUACUGCUAUUUCAGUCAUGAUUGAUCUAUGUUAACAACUAAAUUUCGAGAUCUGGUAUCGCUUGAUGUAUGUAUAAGAGCUCAAAACGAAGUUGUUGAAAUAAUGUUUUUUUCUAUUAAAAGGACUCUACCUAUAAAAUAAGAACGUUGUGUUUCCAUGUAGACAAUGUAAAGUCGAGUGUUAAUUCGUUCGUUGCUUUUUUUUAUGAAGGACUAGUAGGUUUUCAACUUGUAGGCUCGUACAUUUUUUAAAAACAAUGUCUAAGCCUUGUAAUUUUUUUUAACGUUUGAUUAAUUAUGCAUUACAUCGAUGAGAAAUAUUAUAUAGACAAAUACAUCCUACAAUUCUACCACUAUAUGAGAAUACACGUCUGACUGCGCCGUUCUAUAAGAUCCAUGUCCGAUGAUACAUCAUGCACCAUGCUGAAAAUUUUUUGUAACAUUUUUUUUCAUAAUCUGCAUAAUUUGCGUUUUCUGGAUUUUAAAGCUUAUAUCUCCUGGUGUAAAAGCAUUAAUGACAUAUUAAUGCUUAAAUUAAACCUUGUAAUUUAAACUCUUUUUUUUAAUAACAAACUGUUUUUAACAAAGUCACCUCCCAAAUUCCUAUUAGAUUAUUCAAGAUUUCAAAUAUGAGGCCAACUCACAGUCACCCAAAAAAUUGUUAAACAUGAAUUAAUCGGACGUUUGAAGAAUGAAGAGAGUUCAGGUCCAAACAGACAUUUUUGAAAGAAACUUUGAAAAAAAAUCAAUCAAUGCAUUCGGAGAAAAAGAAAGAAGAUUAGUGCACCAUCAUGAAACAUUGUGUGUGGCUCUCGGAAAAGGACAGAAAAACAUGUGUUCCAUUACCAAUGAAGUUGGUCCACUUCACUUACUGCUUAUUUGGCUCACAUAAAAGUCUUUUCUCAUUUUUACUUUAUUUUAUUUGUUUUAUUGCUUUUGGAAGAAUAGUUGAAACACAACCACUCCUCACGUUUUGCCUGAGGAAUCAUUUACACUAGUGCCAAUUUUGUCUCUGAUCUUCUUGUAUUCUGUGAAAGCAGUUUAAGUUCCAACAUCAAAACAAAAAUAGUUGUUGAUCUCAUCAUUAAUUUUCAAUCAAAUAUUGCGGUGUGCCGGUGAUGGGAUAGAUUGAUUGAUUCGAGCUCAAUUAUAUGAAAAGAAACCAUAGUAUCUUACAUUAAAUUCCCUCUGAGACCAACAUAUUGAGAAAUUGAAUUUAAGGGAGAAAAUAAAAUAAAAUAGAAAAGUCUUUUUAUCAACAAUUCUUUUAUCUAAAUUCAUCUGCCAUUUCCCUAAACUCAAGCCUUCAAUCUCGGCCCCAAACAUUCGGCGAUAUAUACAAUAAUUCUAUUUCUAUUUCUAUUUAUUUUUCCUUUUUUCUUUUCUUUUUAAUCGACUACAUUAUUAAGAACAACUACAAUCACAAACACAACAGAAGAAGAGAUCCAGUGGUUCUGAUUCUUGCUUGAGCUAACUUGGCGUCUUUUCAUUUUUCUGUUAGUUUCUAUUUUUUAGUUCUUUAAUUGUUUGAUAUUUGCUUAUACAAAAGAGAGAUUAAUUAGGUUUCUUGAAAAUCUUUUUAAUUUUUCAAGAAUGGAGGGGAAGAAGCUGAAUUUAUAUGCUCCAUUGCCAUCAAUAAGACGAAUGUCAAGUAAAAAAGAGCAUCCAAGUGAAUCAGAGAACAAGAAGACAGCCAUUACAAGACCAGAGCUUCCAUCACGUCUGAGCAAAGAACAAGAAACGCCUGUUUUUGUAUUACCAGACCAGAGUUUCGAUCAUCUCACCGAACCAGCUUCAGUUCCUUUUGUUUGGGAACAGAUCCCUGGUAAACCAAAAGAUGACAUGGCUACACUGAUCCAAGAAUCAGGUUUACUAGAAACCGAUGAUGAAGACGAAGAAGAAGAAGAAGAUAAAGAUACUGUUUCUUCUAAUGGAAGCUUCUCUGUUAACUGCAGCACAAGUGGAGUGAGCGACAUCGAGAUGAACGGUGAGAGAUCUGAAGAUGUCUCGUCUAGAGAAAGUCUCGAUCUGAUGAUGUCGAGGUUCUUACCAGCUGCUAAAGCAAUGGCUUUCACACAUCAGAAACACCAAUCUCCUUCUUCUUACAACUCCUCAGAACAGAAGCAAACCGUACAGAACAGAGAAGCUCUUGUAACUCGCCAAAGACGUCAGUUAGUAGCUGAGCAUGAGCAUUUCGCUAUUGUUCAGAGUCUUUACGAUGAUUUAAACAUCGAAGAUGAUGAUGAAAGCGAGGACGAUGAUGAUGAUGAUCACCGAAUCCUCCCUGAAGUCACUAUCAAGAAAGCUUGUGGAUUCUUGCCAAGGCUUUGUGCUAGGAACUCAUUCAAGUUUUCAAACCCGGUUCCUUUGGAUACAAAACUAAACCGGAGUUUGAAACAUUCGGGCGAGCAAACCGGGAUACCAAACUGGUCGACUAGGCGUCUCUCCGGUUUUAUCUCUCCGUACCGAACCUCUUGUUCGGAAACCGGUUUUCUCGGAGCUCCGGUUAAACCGGAGAGCUUCAAGAGGCUAACCAGAGGGAUAAGCAAGUCUCAAGAACUGUAUCCACCGAGAACAAGAAGAGAGACUCUUCCUAACUACUCACAUUCUGGAGAAAUCAGAAUGUUUAGAAACUCGACCUCGACUCCUUCCAGGAUCCAACGGACGACGACAAUGCACGACUCGAGGUUCCUUGUGGAGGAAGUAAACAGAAGAAAAAGCAGCAGCAUCAACAGGUCAGGGAGUCUUUUGAAAACGUCGCCGGAAUACACGGCGGCGGCGAUCUCUCCGCCACCCUUACCGGAAACCCCGUCUCGGUCUUGGCUCCGACGAACACUCCUCCCGCCGGUGAGCCCUAAACCUUACGGCGUCGGUUUAGGUCAAGUUGGUACUAAGAAACUGGAUCAGGAAAUUCUUGAAUCUACAAAAUGGGAAACGAUCGUUAAAACAUCUUAUGUUCACAACGAUCACGUUCGUUAUUCUCAGGUAUUAAAAUACUCUUUGCACAUUUAUUUUUUCCAACAGAAAAUCAAAUUUAUUUAAAGAAAUUUGUAUUAGUGAACUUCUAAUUAAUAUAUCUUCUCUUUAUGAAUCUUAUGCAGGAACUGGUUGUUCAUCCCUCUCGCCAGCAAAAUACAUAAAAACCAGAGAAAUUACUUCUUUUAUAAAAUUAAAUAAAUAUCUUUAGAAUUUGCCUCUCUUUUUUUUGCAGGCAACACAAAUUUACCUGAGAUUUUUGUGUGUGAGUGUAUGUGUGUGUAUUGUGAUUGUGGCAUUUGUUUUUCCGACCACAUGUUUUGUAAUUGAAGACCUAAAUAUUAUUGAUGUUUGAUAAAACAUGCUUUAUAAAGUAUUUUGCCUCACAAUGAAAAAUUUUGGUUUACAAAACCGGGGUUCAUAUCAAUUGCUUUAGAAUAGUUAAAAUCCCCAUAUAUGAAUAAAAUUAAAAAUUAUAUCAAUCUCUUAAUACAUUUAUGUUGUAUUUGACUUUUGUUUUUCUCAACACAUUUGAAAUCUGAUAUUGACGGAAAACAUAUAUUAAGAAAAUAAGAAGUUAUGGGAGGCAUGUAGUGAUGAAUAAUGAUGGUUCAUGCACAAGUGCACAUGACAUCAACUGGAAAAAAAAACAUUUAUCUUGAGUGACAGUGCUAAUUAUAGAUAACGACUUGAAAACUGUUUUAUACCGUUAGAUUAAAUGAUAUGAUAUCCAACGGUCAGUAAUAUUUACUAUUUUAUUACCGGCGUACUACUAGUAGUAAAGUAUAAGGCAGGCACGUCUCAUUGGUCCUACUACACUACUUUUUAUAAUAAAGUAAAUACAAAACAUAAUUAUUUUAAUUUACUUUAAAAUAUUUACACAACAACAAGGUGACGUGGCUGAGUACAAUAAUCAUCUGUGAUUCAAUUAGAAGAAUUAAGCAUCUAUAAUUAUGAAAAGUAUGUAAACUAAACGCAAAAUUACAAGGAAUUAGUGAUUGAAGAAAUUGGAAAUUUUUAUUGCAAAAUAAUUUAAAAGGAAUACAAAAUUCUGCAGAGAGAGAUAGGGGAAGAAAAGGGAGAGGGAGGAGAGAGAAGGCACUACCACCCUUUGGCCCCUAGAGAGACCAAAGAUGAUCGAAGAGAGAAUACUCUGAGAUCAUCAUCAUCAUCCUGCAAAAACAAGAAUUCGAUUUUUUUAUUUUAUUAAAAGAUUGGAUUUGUUUAUAUAAUUGUUAUCGAUUUUUCUGGAAAUAUUUUGAUUUCUUAAAUCCCCUACACCAACAUUUUUCUUGCCCUACCUGCUUCUUGCUUUCUUCUUGUUCCAGAAACAUAACAAAAUCGCAUAAUAAGCAAUUCCUUUUUACAGUAAGUUUUUUUAACCUUCCAAUCAUUUGCUUGAUUCCUUUACGUAAUUUGCAAGGUUCUUCAUCUAAAAGAGGAAAAUAUAUAAUUUUAGGGGUUUUCUAUACAUUGCUUGUUCGAGAAGUUAUCCCUUUCGUAAUUAUUGGUUAUGAUGUUCAUCUACUUUUUUUGUAUUGUCAGGUAUUAAGAAACAACGAGCUGUAUAGAUCCAAGAUAUGUAUACUGCGAUCAAAAGGGUUUUGUGACAUUAAUUUUCAAAACCUGGAAAAUGAUCAAGGACCCUGAUAUUCGAGAUAUUUUUGGAUUUUGAUUUGUAAAUUAGGAAAAAAAAUUAGUAUAGUGUUGUUUGUAAAAAAAAACUUAAAAUGGGUUGUGGAUUCCACUACUCUUACGUCUUCUUCUUGAUCAUUACCCUUCAAGCUCCUCUCUCGUUUUCUGUCAACUCCCAAGGUUAGAUUUCAAUAAAUCCCAUAUUCUUCUUCUUGUUUUUAAGAUUUGUUUAGGGUUUUGGUUCUUAUAUUUUUUGGGUGAAAUUUAGAAUACACAUUGUUGAAGUUCCGGGUAAGAGUAAACUCGGAUCCUCAUGGAACUCUUGCAAACUGGAAUAUUAGUAGUGAUCUCUGUUCUUGGUCAGGGGUAACUUGCGUUGACGGCAACGUGCAGAUUCUGUAAGUUCCACUGUUCCAUAAAGCUGCAAGAUCAUUUCUAUCCCUUAAUGUUCUGAUAAGUAAUGUCUAUGUGUAUUUAAUAGGGAUCUUAGCGGAUGUUCUUUGGGAGGAACGUUAGCUCCUGAGUUUAACCAACUAAUUGAACUAAGAUCUCUGUAAGUAUCUCUUUAAUGGUAAACUCCAAUUUUUUAAUAUAAUUUUGCUUGGUUUAUGGACUAACCCACGUCUUGUUCUUAUUAUCUUAUAGGAUACUCUCCAAGAACCAUUUCUUUGGAGAGAUUCCAAAGGAGUAUGAGAGUUUCUCAAAACUUGAAUUCUUGGAUUUGAGAGACAAUGAUUUAACCGGAACAAUUCCACCCGAGCUAACCAAUAUCUUAUCGCUAAAACACUUGUGAGUUUAUAGUUCAGUCCUUAACAAAAUGUGUUAAAUAAUGUUACUUAAACAUAGUUUGAAAAUGACCUUGUUGAACUAUUCCAGGUUGCUUUCUGGUAACAAAUUUCAAAGUGAUAUGAGUAUAAAGAUCCUGAGAAUGAAACUGCUGCACUCUCCUUUUGCUGUUCUUGGCUGUGCAAAUAGAAAACUUGGACACUGGUAAGCUCUAUAAAAUUCUGAUUCAUCUAACACCAUAUAUGAUCUUCUAAAAAUGGAGAUUCUCUCUUGACAGUAUUUCAAGAAACCAUAUCAUUCGAGUUAAAAAGAUUGAAGCAUUUGUAUUCCGUAUCAAAGCAACUUCAAGACGUUUCUUGAAAGCAUUCCCAAGUAAGUUCGAUUUCAAAAGACGUGAGUUACUCGAGGAGACAAGUAACUUGGCGGCUGAGCCUGCUCCACAAGCUCCUAGUCCUUCUCCAGAGACUAUAACUGAAGCCUCUCCUCGAAGCAGCGGGUCUUUCCCAGCAGUAACCAACGCAAAGAAGAGAAUACCACCUUUAGUCCCUCCUCCACCUUCUCCCGAUGAGAACACUAGUUCUGAUUCCUCCAAGAAUCAGCCACAAGAUAAUAAACAGUCAAAAGGAUCUAAACAUGUAUGGCUCUAUGUGGUUAUCGCGGUUGCUUCUUUCCUCGGUUUACUGAUUAUAGUAGCUGUUAUAUUCUUGUGCCGUAAAAGAGCUGUAAAGAGCAUAGGUCCUUGGAAAACUGGUCUUAGUGGACAACUACAGAAAGCUUUUGUCACCGGUAAGAGACUUAUUUCAUUUUUAACUCUGUUUCUUUGAGGAACAUUAACGUUGAAACUGAAACUUCAUAGGGGUACCAAAGCUGAAUAGGGCUGAGCUAGAAACAGCGUGUGAGGAUUUCAGCAACAUCAUUGAGACGUUUGAUGGUUACACUGUGUAUAAAGGAACUUUGUCGAGUGGUGUUGAGAUAGCUGUGGCUUCAACCGCGGUUUGUGAAUCUAAAGAAUGGACUAGAGCCAUGGAAAUGGCUUACCGUAGAAAGGUUAGUUACACAUUUUGAAAAGAAAAAAAAAAUUAAAGAAAAUCAUCUUAAACUAGAGUUAUUGUUUAAUAUAUUAUCUUUGUGUAGAUUGAUGCACUUUCUCGGAUCAACCAUAAGAACUUUGUGAAUCUGAUUGGAUACUGUGAAGAAGAUGAGCCUUUUAAUAGGAUGAUGGUCUUCGAAUAUGCUCCAAAUGGAACCCUUUUCGAACAUUUGCAUGGUAACAAAAAAAAAACAUUGGUCUUGGUCUCUUGUUUUCACCUGAGCUCGGUUGAUAACGUUUUUGGGCUUUUCAGAUAAGGAGAUGGAGCAUCUUGAUUGGAGCGCACGGAUGAGAAUAAUAAUGGGAACUGCUUAUUGUCUGCAACAUAUGCACGAGAUGAACCCUCCCAUGGCACAUUCUGACUUCAACUCGUCUGAAAUAUACCUAACCGAUGACUACGCAGCCAAGGUUAGCUCUAACAUCUCUGAAAAUGUUUCUUUAAAGGUGUUGUUAUUACAUGUUUCUAAUGAAGUUGCGCAAGAACACGUGCAACUGUUUUGACAGAUCAAGAAACCUCUUAGAGAUGUUGUCUUUAAGCCACUAAAAAGAUUUGUAUAACCAAAUUUGUAGGUCUCGGAGAUUCCUUUCAACUUAGAGGCGAGAUUAAACCCGAAGAAACACGUGAGUGGUGACUUAGAGCAAGCCUCAUUGCUACUACCUCCAGAACCGGAGACUAACGUCCAUAGCUUUGGACUCUUAAUGCUCGAAAUAAUCUCCGGAAAGCUCUCAUUUUCAGACGAAUAUGGAUCUAUCGAACAAUGGGUACGCAUUUAAAUCGCUUUUUCUUCAAAUAAAAUAUUUUAUAACAACCUGCUCUCGGAAUAUUUUUGUUUAUAAAAGAGGUUCAUGUUUUCUAAAAUUUCCGGAUCCUAGUGUUUCAGAUAUGAUCGUUAUUAAUGUUCUUGGCAAUUUUUUAGGCAUCAAAACAUCUGGAAAAUGACGAUUUAGGAGAGAUGGUAGACCCAUCGUUAAAGACAUUCAAAGAAGAAGAGCUUGAAGUGAUAUGUUAUGUGAUACGAGAAUGUCUGAAACCAGACCAGAGACAUCGACCUUCAAUGAAAGAUGUAGCGGAACAGCUAAAACAAGUUAUUAACAUAACUCCUGAAAAAGCUACUCCAAGAUCAUCUCCUCUUUGGUGGGCAGAACUCGAGAUCUUAUCCUCUGAAGCAACUUGACCCUCAAUGAAAUGUUCUUUCUCUGAUACGUUGUACCAAUUUUUUCCAUUUUUUCUUUCUUCUGGUUUCUUAAAUCAGUUUUCUUAUACGAGCUUUUGGUUCUUGAUUCUUCACAUUCAGUUUGUUUUGGAUUAGUGUUUGCUUCUUGAUGGAUUUGAUAUAAACGAGUUUCGAUAUGUGUUUGUAUAACGAGGCACGGUAGUAUAGGCAGAUAUCGUAUUCACGUGUCUAUUUGUGAUGAAAUAUUUGUGACUAAUUUUUAUUUCCUAUUGGUUUGCUUGUAUAUGAUACUCUCAAAGGAAGAAUUGCCAAAAAAUUAAAAAGAUAAUCACAAAGGACCGCUAGGAUUACCAAAAAUAGGUUCAAGCUAAGAGCUGGUGGUUCUCUCAAUGUAUUGAUGUAGAGCGAGUUUUACGCAUAGAAGAGAUGAUAUCUGGUUCUGAGAUUUUUUCUUUUGUAAACUAAGGUUCUGAGAAUGUGAAUCGAAGAAUGGAUUAUGUUACGAUUAUGUUUGGAAGUUGUUUCCCUUGUUCUUGUGUCUGUAUCAAAAUAAGUUUUUUUUUUAAAAAAAAAGAGAGAUUGAAGAUGUCAUGUACAGUACGGAACCUCCGUGGAUGGACCUAACAACUGAUGAUGCAGAAGAUGCAUCACGGACCCUGAAGAUACGUGGAUAAGUGAUGUUGAGCUGUAAAACAUGCAAAUGAAUGAAAUAUUCACUGCAACCGGUUAUAGUCUCUGGCGGUUUUAGUGGUAGGUUUCGAGUGAUAUCUUGUGUCAUCUAUUAAGUUUUUAAAAUCGAUAAUAAUAAUAAUAAUAAUAAUAAUAAUAAUAAUAAUAAUAAUAAUAAUAAUAAUAAUAAUCAGAAUGUUUAAGUUAAUUUUCAGGAUUUCUAGAAACAGUUAUAUGUGAAAUGUUAUAUACUUUUUAGAUAUGUUAAAGAGACAACCUUCUGGUUUAUUUUUGGCAUCGUUAUUAUAAUGUGAAAUAUAUGCAAAACGAAGAUAAUGAUUUGUCCUGGUAGAUAUAUAUAUAUAUAUAUAUAUAUAUUAAAAUUGCUAAAAAUAGUUAUUAGUAUAAGUUACACCUCAAAAUAUUAUGUUGAAGAAUGUUUUCACAUUUUUAAGACUGAUAAAAUAAUUAUAAGUAAAAAUUAAAAAUCAAUCAGCUUUGCGGAUAAAUUUUAAGAUCACUACAAUAUUCAUAUAAAAUAUAACAUUACACAGAAAAAAUAAAGAUACAACCAAAUUCAAAUCUAAAAAUAAGAGACACCAUUACAACACAUGAAAUAAUUUUUUUUUAAUAUAUAAAUAUUAAUUAAAAUCAACCUGAAGUCGGGCAUCGAGAUGGUUACAACUCCCGGCUAGCAGGGAAACGUUGAGAAUAUAGGUUACAUGCACUUGGCUAAAAGAGACAUGAAAUAAAAUUUGAAGAACCUUUCUCCUGAAUUCUCUUAGUGCAAUCUUCAUGUUUGGAUAUCGACCGUGCAAUGAAACUUAAAACUUUCUCUUAUUUUUUUUUUGUUGUAUAACAUUGGUCAAUUGCCACUACUGAUACAUAUGUCCAUCGACAAAGAACCCAUAUAAUGAUUUUUUGGAAAUAAAUAAUCAUUAGAAUGACCAAUCUUCAACGAUUCUAAAACCAUAGUCAUACAACAAAAAAAUUAUUUCUCCAAGAUUCAUUAUUGCAUGUCCAAUAAAGAUGUCAAAUGUAGUCUCUGUAGAUAUCAAACACCUUUGUAGUUGCAUUGACAUGGACAAUCCCAGUUUUGAUUAUGAAUCCAAUAUAUUUAUUCAUUCCACAGAAACCAAAAAAGAGAUUAUCCUUCAUCUUCUAAUUUCCUGACUCCGACAUACAUUUUUCAUGAUCGUUUAAUAGCAAUUGUUCCAAAGCAAAGCGGUUAGGAUAGUUUCUUACCAUUUAACCUAAAUUCAACUUGUCAUUGAUUAUGGUCAUGAAGUCAAUGCCUGAAAUUACAACAACAAAUUGGAAGAAGAGAAUCACUUUUUAAGUGUUACAAAAAAAAAAUUGGAAGAAGAGAUAAAUAACUACCAUUGUGAGUAAAUCUGAAUGUUUUUCUCCAUUAUAAGGAAAAACAAAACACGUAUAGAUUGUUUUUAAACAGGAUCUCGAGAUGCAUUACGGAGAAAGUAUGUGUACACAAGCAAGAUACAAAGUGUUGUCAAUUGCGGAUGAACUCAACCGGAUAUACCGUAGUGACGAGUCCAGUGCAAAUAGAGUUAUAGUCUUAUAGAAAACGAACUCUUCCAUGGAUCUUCGCAGAAUCAACAUCCUUAGAUGAGAGUUGCAGAAAAAUGGUGAUUACAACAAUAGUCAUUAGAAUCGCCUUGUAACAGUCUUAUUCGAUUUAGCUUAUUAUUCUAUAUUUAGUCUUAUCUUACAAAAUGAAAAGUUAUGCUGAAAAGAGCCAAUUUUCAAAAUAUUUUUUUUUGACAUCGCAAAACAUUCUUUUCUAAAUAAUAAAAAUGAUUUAAAUUGGAAAGUAUCAGUUGAAGAAUUGUGAUGAUAAAGAGAUGCCAUUUUCCCAAGCAUUUCCAAAAUUAUUGACAAGCAAGUGUAUAAGUUCUCGUAGUAAAAACAUUCCAAAAACAACCUAUUAGUAAUCAGUGUAUUAUCACAGAACCUUCUCGAAGUUAAUAUGACAGCCAGUCAGGGAUCUAUAUGUUUCUUUUGUAGUUCGUAUAUUUUGAAGAUUCCACACAAGAAAAGAGGUAGUUAAUGGAACUUCAUUUUUUUGUUCAUACAUAUGAAAAUAAAAAACAGGUACAUGGCAAGGACGAAACAAAAGUACUGAAGUAUGUGUCAGGAACCAUAGGAGUGAGUGACAUUAUGCCUUUCGUUUCCCCACCGACGUAACUGAACCUGAAACGCAGCCGCCGCUGCCAAAAACUCAACACACUGGGGCGGAGCUAAAACGUCUAAAAUACCCUUAAGCGUUUUCAGCCGCACACAAUCUGCCGCCUUCACCAUCUUUUCAAGCCUCGUCGCUAAUCCCUUCACCGCCGCCUCAACCAACACUGUAGAUUCUCCUUCGACUCCACCGACACGACAUCCAAGUCUCGCCAGCUCCACCAUUUUCCUGUCAGCCAUAGCCACCUAGAGACGACCUCAAAAGUGUACAAAUUAAUCUAAAAUAACUCAUUCUUUGCAUAUUUGACGUUUGCUUUCAUUGGUAACAGUAUCAUGCAAAUAUAAAAUUAUGAUAAUUAAAUUCUAAACAAAAAGAAACAUAUUAGAUAUUUCCUUUUCUAAGAAUCCAGAAUCCCAGUUCAGAUUUUAAUGGUUUAAAAAAAAAACUAUUCGAACAUUUAAUCCCAAGAGAAAAAAAAUAAUUUAAAAAUCUGAAAUCCGUACGAAUCCAGUUGUGGACCCACCUGAUAUCGCUCCAUCUCUGUCUCAAUUCUUUCUUCGUCGAACCUCGUCUUAACUCGCAGCUCCUCCAACCUCCUCACCUGAGCCUCCACAAGCACCACCGUCGGCCUCCACGACUUUCUCAGCCUAUCGAGCAUCCGAAACGCCGUCGACGGUUUCCAUCCGGUUAACCAAAAACAAGAUUUCUCUAACGGGUUUAGCCAAACCGGUCCAAAGAAGGCUAAAACGUCUUCUCCUAUGGCUGCCCAUUUCGCUGUGUAGUAAGCUUUGUGAUGUGCAGUAAGCUUUGAGAUCAAACCUCGGAGCUCGAUCUCACUCAUAGUGUUGAUGUUGUUAUGAGCAAUUAAGAGCUGAUGAAGAUAUUGCUCGAGUUGAAAAAUCCAACCCUCGUAGAACUCGAGGAACUUUUCUUCUACUCGGUUUCUCAUUUAGCUUUUCAGUUGUAAUAUUCCAUAUGAAAUCGUAGCGUUUUGGGACAGUAUUUAUACCUACGACUCUCUACAUAUACACUGUUAUAAUUAUAAAUAUGCAUGUGAAUGUAUAUGUAAUCAUAUUUUAUCUAGUCCAUGACCUCGUCAUGGAUCUAUAUUACUAAACCGAGUAACUACUCUAGUUCAGUCAAAACCUUUAUCCCACAGACAAAAUAAAAACAAAUACUGACAUUUUGAACAUUUUUAAACAUAAAACGAUCAAACACAUUAUUUGUGUACUUUUAUACGAGACUAAUAAGGACAGUCGUGGAAUAGUCAAAAUUAUGUUACAUUAUUUGUUGGUUACUAAUAAAACCUAGUAAUAUCGAAUAUUAAGUCACUGUCAAAAUGUUUGACGAUAUCACUAAACUUGGAGAAGUCAUACUGAAUUAAACUUGAUACAUUGACCAAAAAUAUGACCCCGAGAAUGUCGGCAUGCAAGAUGUGAACGUAUCUACAUGUUUAUGUGUAUGCGUUACAAACGUAUUUAUAUAUAGUUGAAUGUACAGAGGUACGUAUACGUGUAUAUUACAAAAAUUAAUAAUUAACUAAAGAUUUUCUUAUGAAAGAAAAAUCAAAAUCUUCUAGGGAAGACGUAACACAUGGAAGAGCAAGAGAGAUUAUUACAGUUGCAUGGCUUACGCGCAUCGCACGCCGACUGCAAAUAUGUGACGCUUUGCAAAAUUAGUAAAUAUUCUUUGAAUUGACAUUAUUUUAAUUAAUUUUUAUAAAUAAUUUUAAUAAUUCUCUCAUGCAAUUCUAAAAUAACUUCAACAAUAAAUAUUUUUUUAAACAAUGAGGAUAUAUAGAUAUAUUCAAAAGCUACAGAAAAUGAUGUAUUGAUAAAAUCAAUAAGAUUGUUCUUACUAUUAAAAUUAUCUUUCUUCAAUGUGAAGUAGAAUCGAAAAAAAUGACUACAGGUUUUUUGACCUCUGAGUGAACUGAAACGGCAGAUAACACAAAGAACAGAUGGCUCACGUGGAUACACGUGUCGCUCUUUAGCCAUCUUUAGCAUCAACGUGGAACAUAGCUCCCACGUAAGUUGCCAGUCAACCUCUACUAAUGUGUUAUAUACAUGUUUUUGUAAUAUCAUUAUACUUCUGCUUAUGUACCUCUUAAAACCUACUAAAAGUCUAGUAUCAAUAUGAAAUAUAUGUAUACUAAUUUAAUAAAGAGCUUUAAACAAAAAUAAUCUAAACCAUUUCUGGAAAGUAGAAGUAUAGGAUUUUGUGUAAAUUCUAAAAAGUAAAUUUUGUCUAAAUAGUUGAACAUAAGAAACCAGUGUAAAGAAAAUACAUGUUAUGUGGAAAGUUAUAAUCCAAAUUAUUUGACAAAGCAGGGAAAUAAAUUAAGUUUGAAAAAGGAAAUAAAUCAAAUACUGAAUUCCCCAUGAUCUAUAUUGCAAUUAGAAACAUAGUACUCUAUUUCAACUGAUAGAUAGUUGGAGUUUUUUAAUAUUAUACUUUUUGUAAUAUAAAUUAUAUAAUAUCAUCAUAUAUAAUCAAAAUGAAACAUCUGAAACAUAAAUUUCCAUAAGCAGAUAUUUAGACAAAAUAAAAUAAUAAAAAGAAAACAAAAAUAAAAUUGCUUUUAAAACAUGCUAUAAUCCAUAAGAUUCUAUGAUAAAUUUAUAUUAAAAAAAAAAAUUUCAACACAUCAUAUUUUAUUUUUAAAAAAGAUAUUAUACUGAAAAUACUAAACAUAAAAAAAAAUCGUUCUCACACUAAUAGAAUCUAAAAAUCUCUUAAAGCAAACAUACCAGCAAUUAAUAUUAUUUUUGCAUCUAACAGAGAAGAAAUCAGAUCAACAUAAACCCUACAAUAAUUUUUUGAAGCUCACUUUUUAUCAUUAAUGAUUUGCUCGCCCCAAAUCGACCCUAAGUAAAGAAAUUCAUUUCAUUAGACAUUUCAAUAAAAUCAAAUAGAAAGCCUCUGGAAAAUCAACCACAUUGUUUUGACACAGAGAGUGCCUCUAUGAUACAAGACAUCAUAGAAAUUUCAAAACUAAAUGAGUUCAAAUUCCGUCAUGUCUCUCGAUCUAUGCUAAGUAGAGUUGAUGUACUUGCAAAGUUAGGUAGAAAAAAAAACAAGAAAGACUGUAAUAUCUUGGUUUUAUUAAUAAGAAAAAGGGUUGACCAAAAAAAAAACUUGGAUUUUGUUUUUUUUCAGUAAAUGUAUAAUCGCUAGCCCAAACUGAUUUUUGUCUACAGGCCUAGCCCAAAUUAUUUAUGAUUUAGUUAAUAGUUUUGGAGGACGAUCAAUUUUUUUUUUUACAUUUUUUAAUCUUAUUUGAAUUGAUGAAGAGCAAGAAAGAUGCUUUGAUGAUUUACUUAUUAUACCAAAAAAAGGAAGAUGAUUUGGUUUCUAUCUGCAUACCAAAAGACCACGUUGCUGAAGUGCAGGACAGAGUAAAAGUGUCUUGGUGAUUGUAUAAACUGUGCCUAAACGCUAGAUAUACAUAAAUUUGGUGCUUAUUUUUCUAUUUCAUUAAAAAAAAUUACAAUAUAUAAAUACUAUAAAAUCUAUUAUCUGUAUAUUACGAUAUAUGAUAUUAUAUGUUAUAAAAACUUUAAUAAUUAUAUUUUUAAAUUAUGCUGUAUAUUUAAUGUUUUAUUUUGACACUUACGUUGUCUACAUCUCCAAUUAAAUAAAUUUACUAGGAGUGGAGAAAAACAUAACCUAAAAGUAACGAAACUCAAACUAAAUUAUAUGUCCUAAUAUUCGGUUGAAUUUUUUAUCAAACCAAAAAUUUUAGUUUAGUUUUAUUUUAAACUUAAUCAAACAAAAAAAAUCUAAUUAAAUUAACUAAAUAUAUUAAUAAUAUAAAAUUUAAAAUGCUUAAUCAUUUAAUCCAAAUAACUUAAUAUUGAAAGAUAUUAUAUUUAUAAAUAAAUAAUUAAAAAUAAUAAAAUAAAGAACAAAAUGUUUUUAAACUAUCAUCAAAACUAAAAAAACUAUCCAAAAUAUUAUAUUAACUUAUAUUUAAUGAUUUAAAAUUAUAGAUUAUAUCUGGUAUAUUUUCAUUUUGAUGUUUUUUAUGUUUAAAUAUAAAAGUAUGAAGAUCAGUGGUUAAAUGAUGAUUUAUUUUAUGUUAUAUAGAUUAUAUUUUCUUAAUUAAAUUAUAACAGAAUUAAAAUCAAAUCAAUUAAACCGUAUCAAAGACAAAUCAAAAUAGAUUCAAAUCAAGCCAAAUCAAACAUAAGUUAAAUUAAUUUUGGUUUACUGAAGUUAAAAAUGAUUAGAACAGAAUAAAUUAGACCCGAAUCAAAUUUGAAUUCAAUCCGAAAUGCCUACGAAUAUAUUUACUAACCAUUCGGUCACAAUUUCUUAGCGCUUACCACUUUCUUACAAACUCUUUUAGCAAAUAAUAGGAAAUAGGACACGUGUAGUAGGUGUUGACAAGCCUGCACGAAAAGUUAUGUUAUUAAGUAGUACAUGUCUAGAUUCACAACUAUAAAUAGAAACUCUUAACAUUUACAGUAAAAACUAAACUAGAAACAACUUUGCCGUACCAUUUUAUUCAUGGAUUAAGGUUUUGUGAAUCCAAAUCUUUUCUUCUUCUUUUGCUUUCAUGUUAGUUGAGAUUUUAAUCCAAAUCUUUUAUUCUUCUUUUGCUUUCAUGCUUGUUGAAAUUUUAAUUUUUGGGUGGAUUCAUCUUUGAUCGGUGGUGGCUUCACCAUAUGUGUUUAAAACACAACAAAUUAAUAAUCCAAGCAUAUCUAUGUUCAGAUAUAUUACAGCAUAAUUGUUUUUGGCCUUUCUACAUGAAAAAAAUCGCAAUAAUAUAAAAAGAAGUUUUAAAAUGUAGCGGAAAGCACAUGCUCGGCCUCGGUGAGUGAAGAAAGACAGGUGAGAAAUGAGAAUAAAACAAGAGAAGAACAAUGAAGAUGCUAAUAGAAAGCCUCAGUUCAAAAAAAAACAAUGAAGAUGCUCUGUAGCGCAAGUCCACAUUAACUUUCACAACGAAAAUGUAUUGGUUGGCUUUGUGAGUAUGCUUAAAGUUAGAUGAGAAAAAAAUAAACAUACACAAAACUUGAAGGGUGUUUUGUUUAGACAAUGUAAACUAGUGGAAGUAGACACUUGCCCUAUUUUUUUCUCAAUUAUCAUUGUUACCUCCUAAACAUCAUCUAAACUUGAUUUUUAUAAAUUUGUUUGUGUCAUUAUUAAAUUUAUUUUUAUUUAAAUACAUGAAUUACUACAAAAUUAUCUGAACUGAAUCACGCUGAACUAAAUAUUUAUUUGUAACGACUAUUGGUUUAGAUAUUUAAUGAACAUAUAAAAUUUGAUAUUAAUGCUUUUCUGAAUCAUUAAAUCUGCAACGAAAAUGUGGUUUCUAGAAUUUAGACAUCUAAUAGUUUUUGUAGCGAAAACUAAUUGACUUACUGUAGUGACUCAAGUUCUAAGAUUGUUCGUAACCAUACCUUUAGUGUUCUAUUGAUUGCAGUUCCGAAUUACAUGUUUAAUUUUUCUGGAUCUAGCACAUUUUUUAAUUAUUUCACAAUAUGUUUAAUCCGUUGUUUUCUUUUAUCUCUUGCUAUUUAUUGCUUUAUACUAUUCAAAAUAUCUAAAUCUGAAACAUAUAUUUUAUUGUGUGAUAUAAGUACAUGUGAAUUUGAUCUCUGAGUAAUGCAACUACUUCUGAAAUCGCAGAAAAUACUCUUAGGAUAAGUUUAAGUAUAUUAAUCUCUUAAAUAUUACUUGAGAAUUAUUGUCUUAAGUUUACUUAUGUGUCGGUUAUAUAUAAAUUUAUAUUUUUAAAAAUGACGUGAAUUAUAUAAAAUACUACAUACUUAAAAUUAAUUGUGACAAAAAUAUUUUCAUUUAAUUUAAUUUAUAUUAUUCUAAUCUUUUAAAAAUAUGUAAUAACACAUACAUCAUCACUAAAUUAAAUUUAUUCAGAAAUAUCAUCAAAAUAACAUAAUAAUAGAAAAUAGAAACAUAAUAAAAUUUCACAUAUUUUCAAAAUAUUAUUUAAUUCUAUUGUUUGAUAAGUGUACAAUUUCUUAUUACUUAAAAAAUCUUCAAAAAAUAUUUGUAGAUAUUAAAAAGAAAUUGAGAUAUUAAGAUUAUAGAAGUAUACACAUGCCCUAUUUUGCUGAAUAUCAUUGGCAUCUCCUAAAAACAACGUUUUUAAAACCUAACCUAGACACUGAAUGACAAUUUUCCAAAGCAAUAAAUUAUUGGUUCGAUCGCGGACAACCUAUGGAUUUUUAUUAUAUAAUAAUAUAUUAGCUAUUAAAAAUAUAAUGUUAUUUUAAAAAAUAGAUAUCAAGAAAAAUACUUAAAUUUAUUUUAUAUAUAAACUUUUAUUUUACAUGCAAAACAUCAAAAUAAUUUAGCUAGUUAACAAUUUUUGUAACAAGGUAGAAGAUGACAUAUAAUAUAAAAAUCAAGAUUUAAAAUAUAUAAGUAUUUAAAUCUUUAAUGUGAAUAAUAAACUAAAUUUUAAAUCCAAAUAUACUAAAAGUAAAAUAUCAAACUAUAACAGAUUGUCGAAAGUAAAAUACACUAAUACCAAAUAAUAUCAACUAUUUUUGAUUUUAUCUAUCAUCAUUCUAUUUUAUUUUCUUCAUGUAGCAUAAUAAAAUUCUCAUCAAAAUUUAAAAAUCACAAAUAAAAUCAAAACUACAAAAACAGUGUCGUAAGACUCAUGAUAAAAGAAACUAAGAACAUAAAAGUCAAAGGACAUGUCUCGACAGUAGAGGAAGACGAUAGUAAAAAUUGAAAACCUAAGUUCUUAUUUAGAAUACAAAACAGAUAUUAAUAGAGUAAUUUAAAAAAAAAAUAAAAAAAAUAAGUAAAAGUUACGUAUUGGAUCAACUAUUUGUUCAACCAGUAGCUAGAUUCCAAAUUUUUAAAUAAUGGUUUUUUAAAACCUUAAACAAGAUUACAUAUCAGGUGACUAGGUUUAUUAGUUUGACUAUGCGUCCGAGUCUGAUUUCAACACAUUGCCUAAGCAUUAUUGGAGAAUAUGUUUUUAAGUUUACUUACACGUCAUAAUAAUAUUCAUUUUUAUUUUUAAAUGACAUGAAUUGCUACAAAUUAUGAUAUGGCUUAGAGCUAAUUGUGAUUUAAACAUUUGCUUUUAAUUACGAUUUAUAUUUCUUAAGAUUUUUAAAUAUGGUGAUAAUUCAUAUAUCAUUAUUAAAAUAAAUUUAUUAAAAUAUAACAUUAAAACAAUAUAAUGAUAGAAAUAGAAAUAUAAUAAAAAAUUUACAAAAUUUCAAAAAUAUUAUUUAAUUCUAUUAUUUGAUAACUGUGCAAUAUCUUAUUACUAAUUUGUUUUCAAAAUUUGUUUGUAGAUGUCAAAAGAAAUUGAUGGUAUUAAGAUUAGAAAUUUAUAAUUUAAAAUUUUGCGUUUCUCAGAAAAUAUUUAGUUUUACCUUUUCAUAAUUUUAGAUUUUUUUUUAUUUCUAAUAAAAUUUCCUCUUAGUUUUAGGCAAUUUAAUUCAAUAUAUUUAACCAAAAGAAAUAGGUAAAAAAAUCAAUCCAAUUUUAUAAUUUAAAUAUUUACAUAUUUAUUCUUAAAUAAAUUUUUUUUUUUGCUUGAGAAUAUAGUUCUCUGGCAUGCUGAUCAAGAUGAGUUUAAGGCUCUCUUCAGCUAAGACCUUGAAUUACUUGAAGAUAAAAGAUGUGUGGUCAAUUGGAAGAAGAUUACUUGGUUCCCGCAGGCUGUACCUUGCCAUGCUUUCAUGGUUUGGCUUGCAUUCAGAGAUCGUCUCUCUACAGGAGAUCGAAUGAGUACUUGGGACAUAGAGCAAUGUUGUAUGCUGUGUGGAGAGAAGAAUGAAAUAAAGGAUCAUCUAUUUUUUGCAUGUCCCUACUCGUUUACUUUCUGAAUGCAAAUCACAAGAAAGCUGCUUGGCAGCCUAAUAUCUCCAGACUGGACUGAUACCGUAGUGUCGUUACAGCAACCUGGUCGGAGUCGUCUGAACUCUGUGCUACCAAAGAUGAUGUUUCAGACGGUUAUCUACUCUAUCUGGAGAGAGCAAAAUUCAAGAAGGCAUAGAGGUAUAUGGAUCACAACGGCUAAAAUCUCUCGAAAUAUUAACAAGCAAGUUAGGAACCGUAUAUCAUCUCUUUGCUACGACUGUGAUCAUCCGUCGAAUGAGCUGAUGAGAAGAUGGUUUGAAAUCAAUUAAACUUAGUUAGGAAAAGACUACUUGUUCUUUAAUUCUUUCCUAGUAGUUUAAAUCACAUACUCCAACUAUUUGUAAAUGUGCUAGUUUGAUCAAUAAAUUUGAUAUUUCAUCAAAAAAAAAUUAAACAAAAUUAUGUGUUUUCUUAAUUGUUAUGUUUAACUAUAUCAAAAAUCAAAUUAAAAUAUUGCUAAGAAAAUAAUAAAAACUAAAAUUAACAAAUUUUAUUUUAAAAUAUAAUUUAAUUUUAAAUAUAAUUUUUUGAGUAUGGUGCAGAAAAACACUAGUUCGUUUAUAUAUCCGUAAUUAUUUUGAUGGACAAAGUUAUCUCAUUCAAUGAUAUAACAAAUUAAAUAAAUCCUCUCAAUGAGCUAAACUAUUUUUCAUUACGGUAGGUAAAGCCCCUUCUUGUAUCUUCUGAAUUGGAAAUCUGAAUUAAUAUUUGUCGCUAUUUUCUUGUCCUUCUUCUAUUUCCACCAACUGAAAGAUAGACUUUUGGUAACUUAGAGGAAGAUGCUUACUCUUUUCCGCCUGCCGCCUACAGUUAUGACCACUUGCAAGCAGCGACAGAAAAACAUACAACUAGGGCCAUCUUUUAGUGUACUAGUCCAAAUCUAAAAGUGAAAAAACAUUAAAAAAAAUUCAAAAUAAAUAGAUAAAUUUGGUUUAAAAAUCCAAUUUUUUUAAUAUAUUCUUAAAUUUAUAGUUUAUAAUUAAAAGAAAAACCUCAAAUAUACAGAAAUAAAACUACUAACUUUUAAAAUUAUUUCACUAUAUUAUUAAAUAUAUGGUUAAUAUUUUUUUAGCAGAGCCUUAAUAUAAUUUGAGACGGUCCUGCAUACAGCCAAAUAUUAAUUUCGUGUAAGAAAACAAACUGUAAAAUAUAUAAACCAAUUUCAAAACGACCUAUAAUAGUGCCAAAAAUAUAUUUCUUUAUUUGCGAAAACGCCAAAUCCUCCGUAACCGUGUCUCAACAUAAAAUGUAUCCAUGCGCUACUUGUUUGCUCACACCCUCAAACCACGCAUUUUCUUCUAACAUCCUCUAAACACACAUAUACGUUAAAAGUAAUAUAUUAACAAAUUAAAUUCACUACAAGAAAACGUAUUUUUACCGAGGAAGUUUAACGAGGAAAAAUAAUCCUCGUAAAAAAACGUUGAUUUUGCGAGGAAAGUACGUUGAGAAAGAAAAGCAUCGUUAUUUCGUCGUAAGUUAACGACAAAAAAUAUUCGUCGUAAAGACGAUGUAAAUUGACGUGGCUUUUACGAGGAAAUAGUUUUUCCUCGUAAAAUCCACGUAAAUUUCGCGAGUGCUUUACGACGAAAUAUUUUACGUGUACUUAACGAGGAAAUUUUGAAUCCACCAACUUGGUAGGUGGCUCACGUUUUUUUUUUGGCCAUACAAUUAAUUUUCGUCGUAAUUUCAUAGUAAAAUUACAACUACCAGAUUCGAAAUUUUCUAUAAAUAUGGAUGUUGGAACAUCAUUUUAAACACACCAACAACAAAAAACGUGAAAGAAAAAAAAAUGGCUGGCUCUGGGACUAUUUACGAGUUGCGGAAUUGGAUGUAUAUGCAUAGAGAUGCUAACGGGAGAGUGACGAAAGAAUACCUUGCGGGGCUGGAGACAUUUAUGCACCAAGCAGAUUCAACACCGCUCGCCCAAGAAAGUGGUAAGAUGUUCUGUCCUUGUCGGAAAUGCAACAAUUCGAAAUUGGCAAACCGUGAAAAUGUUUGGAAGCAUUUAAUAAAUAGAGGUUUCACGCCAAAUUACUAUAUCUGGUUUCAACAUGGGGAAGGUUAUAAUUAUGAUCAGAAUGAAGCUAGUAGUAGUAAUAGCAAUUUUCAGGAAGAACCGGUUAAUCAUCAUUUGCAUAAUGAACAUAGUUACCAUCAGGAGGAGAUGGUAGAUUAUGAUAGGGUUCAUGAUAUGGUAGCUGAUGCAUUCGUAGCUCAUGAUGAAGAUGAAGAACCUAAUAUAGAUGCAAAAAAGUUUUACGGAAUGUUAAACGCGGCGAAUCAACCACUUUACAGUGGUUGUAGAGAAGGUCUCUCUAAAUUGUCGUUGGCUGCUAGAAUGAUGAAUAUUAAAACUGAUCACAAUCUACCUGAAAGUUGCAUGAACGAAUGGGCGGACUUGUUUAAAGAGUAUUUGCCGGAAGACAAUGUGUCUGCUGAUUCUUAUUAUGAGAUUCAGAAAUUAGUUUAUAGUCUUGGGUUGCCUUCGGAGAUGAUAGAUGUCUGCAUCGACAAAUGCAUGAUCUAUUGGGGAGAUGAUGAGAAGCUAGAAGUAUGUCGAUUCUGCAAGAAGCCACGAUUCAAGCCGCAAGGACGGGGACGUAAUAGGGUACCGUACCAAAGGAUGUGGUACCUACCAAUUACAGACAGAUUGAAAAGAUUGUAUCAAUCAGAGCAGACUGCUGCAAAGAUGAGAUGGCAUGCCGAGCAUACUCAGACGGAUGGUGAGAUGACUCAUCCAUCAGAUGCAAGAGCCUGGAAACAUUUCAACAAAGUACAUCCGGAUUUUGCUAGCAAUAGCCGGAAUGUGUAUCUCGGAUUAUGCACAGAUGGAUUUAGUCCGUUCGGAAUGUCAGGGAGACAAUAUUCAUUGUGGCCAGUCUUUCUUACGCCAUACAACCUGCCACCGGAGAUGUGCAUGCAACGGGAGUUGCUAUUCUUGACGAUAUUGAUACCUGGUCCGAACCAUCCAAAAAGGUCCCUGGAUGUUUUCCUACAACCACUGAUAAAAGAGUUGAAGGAUUUGUGGUCAACAGGGGUGAGGACGUAUGACUGUUCAACGAAGACGAAUUUUACGAUGCGAGCUAUGCUUUUGUGGACCAUAAGUGACUUUCCUGCAUAUGGGAUGUUGUCUGGAUGGACUACACAUGGGAGAUUAGCUUGUCCAUAUUGUAAUGGAACGACAGAUGCGUUUCAACUGAAGAAUGGUAGGAAGACAAGUUGGUUUGAUUGUCAUCGUCGAUUUCUUCCCAUUGGCCAUCCUUACCGAAGAAACAAGAAUUUGUUUAGGCACAAAAGGGUUGUGAGAGACACUUCUCCACCAUAUCUAACUGGAGAACAAAUUGAAGCACAAAUCGACUACUACGGAGCUAACGAAACAGUUCGUUGGGGUGGUAAUUGGCAUGUCCCUCGUAAUAUGCCUGAUUCUUACGGUGUUCAUCACAACUGGCACAAGAAGAGUAUAUUUUGGGAGUUGCCAUAUUGGAAGGAUCUUCUUCUGCGCCACAACCUCGAUGUGAUGCAUAUAGAGAAGAAUUUCUUUGAGAACAUCAUGAAUACAAUAUUGAAUGUCCCAGGGAAGACAAAAGACAACAUAAAAUCGAGGUUGGACUUGCCGGAUAUUUGCUCAAGAAGCGAGUUACAUAUUAAAAGCAAUGGACAAGUUUCUGUUCCGAUAUUCAGACUGUCUUCAGAAAAAAAGUCGGUGUUGUUCAACUGGAUGGCAUCAGAAGUGAAGUUCCCCGAUGGGUAUGUUUCAAAUCUCUCUAGAUGUGUUGAAAAGGGUCAAAAGUUCUCUGGGAUGAAGAGUCAUGAUUGUCAUGUCUUUAUGCAACGACUACUGCCCUUUGCAUUUGCGGAGCUACUUCCAACAAACGUACAUGAAGCACUUGCAGGUUCGUAGUGUUUUAUAUCACAAUAAUUUUAUAACGGUCUAGUUUGCAAAAUAAUAUACGACUAACAAUGUGUUUAAUUGUUUUUGGAAUAUAAAAGGCAUUGGAGCAUUUUUCAGGGAUCUGAGCACACGCACUCUUAAAGAAGAAGUUGUAGAACAGCUUCAGGAGAACAUUCCCAUCUUAUUGUGCAACUUGGAGAAGAUAUUUCCUCCUGGAUUUUUUGACGUCAUGGAGCAUCUAGCUGUCCACCUCCCAUAUGAAGCAUUGCUUCGUGGACCUGUACAUUACGGAUGGAUGUAUCAGUAUGAGCGAGCCAUGAAAUAUUUGAAGGGAAAAGCAAAGAACCUCGCCAAAGUUGAAGGUUCUAUAAUUGCUGGAAGUUUGACGGAAGAAGUUUCUCACUUCACAUCGUACUACUUUGCGUCAAAAGUACGUACCCGUAGAAGAGCUCCAAGAAGAUAUGAUGAUGGUGGAGUUGCGCCAACAUAUGCAGUUGCUGGUGUUCCAGACAUCUUUAGCCAGAUUGGACGGCUCGGUGGGAAGUCUAAAGAGGUUUGGUGGUCGAGUGAACAAGACGCUCAUAGUGCACACACCUAUAUUCUACUCAAUUGCGAGGAUCCAUUGAUGCGUUAUUUUGAAAGGUAACAUAUAUGGACACUUCAAAACACAUAUAAUUAAUUAUAUAAUUGCAAGAGAUUCAUUCCUAUGAAAUGUGAUUAAUUUUACAGCCUAUUUGUUUCUCAAGUCGAAGAAACAUUUCCUGGUAUAUCCACAAGUGACGUAGACAAAAGGAAAGAUCAGCACUUCAUUAAGUGGUUGCGGAAUCAGGUAUUAUAACUCAAACUAUUUUUUCAUACAUGAUUUGUAUUUUAAUGUUCUCUUUAUUUUUGCAGGUUGAUUAUGACGACGAUGCAGAUUAUCCUAAGUGGUUACACGAAGUAAUUCAAUCUCCACUUGUAAAGGUCACCACAUCACAGAUGUAUUUCACACGAGGCUACACUUUUCACACAUAUGAGUAUGGUAGACAGCGGGCGACCAGUAACUAUGGAAUAUGUGUGAAAGGGGAAACAGAUUUCUACGGGAUCUUGACGGAGAUUAUUGAAGUCGAAUUUCCAGGGAUACUGAAGCUGAAAUGCGUCAUCUUCAAAUGUGAAUGGUUCGACCCCGUCGUCAACAGAGGUGUUCGGUCUAACAAAUUUGGUGUAGUUGAUGUCAACGGUGGACGUCGGUACAACAAAUUCGAGCCUUUCAUCUUAGCUUCACAAGCAGACCAAGUUAGCUUCCUUCCAUACCCUCGGAUGAGAGAUUCGGGUAUAAAUUGGUUAGCAGUGAUCAAAGUUACACCUCGAGGACGAAUCAUCAGUGGAGAAGAACCACCAUUGCAAGAAGAACAGAUAAAUGAAGUCGAGGAACCUGAACAAGAAGUUGAUGACAUCCUUCUCAUUGAUCCGCAUAAUCACGAAUACGAAGAUCUUACCGAUGAUGCCACAGACGAAGCUGUAGAAGACGAGUUUAAUGAAAAUGAUGAUAUUUCUAGUGAUGACGAGAAUGUCGAUGUAUCCGAUUGAUGUAUUUGAUUUUGUGUAGUUUGUUUUAUGAAUAAGGUAAUGUGAGAGUUUGUUUUAUGAAUAAGGUAAUGUGGGAGUUUGUUUUAUGAAUAAGAAAUUGUGGGAGUUUGUUUUAUAAAUAAGUAAAUGUGGGAAUUGUGGUUUGGAAUGAAAAUAAAGAUGGGGUUUGGAAUAUAUGAAGUAGAAGAUAAGGAAUAUGGGUUUUGGGGUUUGGGGUUUCGGAUUUUAGGGAAUUAAAGGUACUGCUCGUUAAUUCCUCGUAACCUGACGUCGAAUGUACGACGUAAUCCUCGUUUAUUCCACGUAGGACAGAAUCGUUGUAAAGACCUCGUAAUGUAAAUUGACGUAAAUGCCACGUAAAGUAAAUGACGAAGGAGGCACUCGUUUAUUCCACGUAGGAAAGAAUCGUCGUAAACACCUCGUAAGGUAAAUUGACGUAAAUACCACGUAAAGUAAAUGACGAAGAAGGCACUCUUUAAUUCCACGUAGGAUGAUUUCGUCGUAAACACCUCGUAAGGCCACGAGGACUUUACGACGAAAUUAAAAAAGCGGGGCACGCUAAUUCCACGUAAGCCAAAAUCGUCGUAAAAGAGUCGUAAACUAACGACGAUAUUACGACGAAAAUAUUAAAAAUACUAAAAAAAAGAAGAGAAGAAAGAUGCUUGAAUCACAUUUGGCGAGACUUACGUAAGUCUCGACCACAUGAGUUCCAAAUAUCUUCUUCUCUUCUUUUUUUUUCCAAAUUUUCUAAAUUGGUGAAAAGCGGGACUUGCUACUUCCUCAUAGUAUAAAAACUAGAAAAAAAGAAAAAAAGAAAGAUACUGGAAUUAUAUGUGGCGAGACUUAAGUCUCACCCACAUAAAUUCUAAUAUCUUCUUUUCUUCUUUUUUUUUUCAAAUAUUUCUAAUUUGAAAAGUAUUUUGGUGAGGAGUGUGAUUUGAGAUAGGGUGUGUUUUGUGAGUUUGUGUGUGUGGUUUGAGAAGGAAAGUUGUGGGUAUUUAUAGAAAAUAAAGACUCGCUAAUUCCUCGUAACUGGUUAACUCGUUAAUUCCACGUAACCCUUUUCGUCGUAAAAACGUCGUUAACGAAAACGCGGGCCUUUGUAUUUCGUCGCUAUUUCGUCGUAACUGAAAACGCGGGCCUCUGUAAUUCCUCGUAAGUUUACGAGGAAUUUACGAGGACAAGUAAUCUUAUAUAUAUCCCGAGCGAGCUCGCUCCGUCUUUCCUCUCUACUUCCUCUCCACUUCCUCCCUAAUUCGUAGCAAUGGUAAGUCUCUCUAAUUCCUCUCUAGUUUGAUUAGUUUAGGAUAGAUUAGGUGGUUAGUAUAGGGAAUUUAGAUAGGUUUACGGAUCUUAUGUUAUUUAGUGUUGAUUAGGUGGAUAAUGUUGGGAAGUAUAUGUUCACGAAAAUUUAAAAAAUUAAAUUUUUUUCUCAGGUUCGAAAAGGUAGACUUACUGCCCAUUACAGAGAGAUGUUCGGUGAGCCGGGUAGUCGUUUAGACCCGUCGUCUUCUUCAGCUCCCGGUUCUUCGGGUCAGGAGACUGUCCCCGAGACUCAGUACACUCAGAGAGUCAUUGGAUCUCCUUCUUCUAGUGCACCAUCGGUUCUUCACGUGCCUCCCCAGAUGCCUCCUCCUCCUCCUGUGCCUCCUACGAUGCCGGCACCUCCGAUGCCCGCGGGCGAGAUUCAUCCCGAUUUGAUGGUGCCUCCGAGUGCUCCUUACUCGCAGUACACCGUAGAGGACAUUCUCCGUCUGCCAGGCAGAGAAGGUUUACCAGUCAUCGACCCCGACCGACCGGACGGAACUUUAUGGUAUGUUUCAUUAUUUUUUUAUUCUUUUUAAAUUCUUUUAUAACUUUAAAAAAUAAUUUAUAUUUUAAAUUUGUAUUUUUCAGGUGGGGGAUUGACGGAUGUCUUGCAUCGGACGUAACCGAUACGAUAAAAGGUUACUUCUCCAUGGCACAUCCGAACUGGAAAAUGACGCCCCACUACGUCAGAAAGACGUGGUUCAAAAUUUACGCUGUAAGUUCUAUUAAUUAAAUAUAUAUCUUUAAAUUUUUUUAUUAUUUAUAUAUAUAUUUUUUUCUAAAAAACUAAUUAUAAAUUAUUUUUUCCAACAGCAAAAAUAUAAUUGGGCCUUGGGGAUCACUGAGAGGGUGAGAAAGAAGUUUGAAGCGAAGGCGAAAGUUCGCUUGUUGGACACGGUCUCCAACUGGAAGGGUGACUGGAUCGUGAAGGGGUAUGAGCGUGGCAAACCCGCUGAGCUCACCACGGAUGUCUGGGAUGGCCUCAUCCGAUAUUGGCGUCUUCCUGAUUCCAUUAGAAUCGCCCAGUCUUGCUCUAACUCCCGUAACACAGUCGAUGAGCACGGGAACGGGCCGAUGCUUCACACUACGGGCCAAAAACCCCACGCCGGUGUCCGUUUGGAAAUGGUAAUUAAAAAUUUAAUUAUAUUAAAUUUUUAGUAUAUUUUUAUAUAUAUUCUAAUUAACAACUUUCUUAAAUGUUUUUUUAGGCCAAAGAGACGGGAGAAUUCCCGUCUCUUAUGCAACUUUACGAGAGGACCCACAAGAACAAGGCGGGCCGAUUUAUAGAUGGCAAGUCCGAGCAAAUCUACAACGAUUUGGCUGCUCGGGUUGAAGAACGCCAGACCCAGCUGACCCAACAGUCCACCGAUGGAUUACCCGUCACCUUAUCCACACCUGAAGUGGAUAAGCUUUACGAGGAGGUAAAUUUUCUAAAAUUUUAAUUUUUUUAAAUAUUCAUUUAAUUUAACUUUAAAUUUUUACUAACAAAAUUUAUUUUUUGUUUUUAAGGUUGUCCCUAAAAAAAGGGACGGACGUUGGGGAUUGGUUCCGUCAACGAUGUUCCGAGAGCGACAUCGUCUUAUGUUCAGCGACGGGAUGAGGAAGUCUCUCAGCUGCGUAGGGAGUCCGAAGAGCUGCGUAGAGAGUCUACUCAGCUGCGUAUAGAGUCUACUCAGCUCCGAUCUCGUAUGGGUGGACUCGAGGGCUUCUUGGACGUUGUAGCGGCCACAAAUCCGGAAUGGGCGACUUUGUUGAGGACCAUGCGACAACAGAAUCCUAUCCCAGGCCAGUCACCGACCGACGACUCACAUGCCGAGGCGGAUGUUCAGGCGAGGAGUGAUGAAUUCUACGAGGCGAUUAAUUAACGACCACCCUUAGUUCUUUUUAAUUUCGGUUAUUGUAUUAUGAAUUCAAAACUUAUUUCUAUAUAAAAUAUUUUGGUUUUGAUUUUUUUAGAAUUUUAAUUUUAUUAAUAAUUUAAAUUAUAUUUAUAAUUAUAUUUAUAAUUAUAAUUUUUUAUAUUUCUAUAAAAUAAUGAAACGAAGUAAAUUCGUAGCUAAUUUUGCGGCUUCUUUACGUGGAAGCUUAACGUGGUUUUUACGAGGAAACAUUUACAUGGAAAUAACGUGGAAACCUAUCAAGGUUUUUACGUUUUCUUUACGUGGAAAGCUCUCAAGGUAUUUACGUUAAUUUUACGAGUAUUUAUUUACGUGGGUUUUACGAGGAAAGCUUUUCGUGGUAUUUACGAGGAAACUUAGCGACGUCCUUACGUGAAAUCUUUACGUGGUCUUUACGACGAAAUAUCCUCCUUCGCUUUUACGACGAAAUUAUUUCCUCGCUAACUUACGACGAAUUAGCGAGGAUAUAUGCGUUACGACAAACGUAUAACGACGAAACGCGUUUCCUCGCUAAUUCGUCGUAACACUGCUUUUACGACGAAGUAACGAGGAAAACUGCCCUCGUAAAACUUGUGUUUUCUUGUAGUGAUUGUAGACUUCGUACUGGUGCCUAAUCUGGCACUAUAUAUUAAAACCCCACGAAUACAAAACAUACAGAAUACAAAAUCCCCCAAGGAGUUAAAAAAAAAAACUAAAUGGAGAAUCCGAGCUCAUCAAACAUAGAAGAAGUUCAACAAGAAUGUUAUGAUGAGUGGAUGAGUUUACAAGCCAAACGCAUGACGGACCUUAAACGAGCGUUAGCUAACGGUGAGAAAAACGAUGGCGCGCUUCGAGAAUUGAUACAGUCAGUGAUUGAAGAUUUUAAAGACUAUGCGCGAAAACGAUCAGAACAUUCUCGUCGAUAUAGCUCAAACUAUUUUGCUCCGACAUGGAACACUUGUCUUGAAAACGCACUUCUUUGGAUGGGAGGUUGUCGUCCUUCUUCGUUUAUACGACUCGUAUACGCUAUGUGUGGGUCUCAAACCGAGCUCCGUCUUACCAACUUCUUCCGUGACAACAUCGGCGGUAAGGUUAUACGCAUGUCUAUCUUGUUUACGAAAAGAAGACAUUUACUAAUUAAAUGAUAUGUUUUAGGGUUUCAUAAAUGCUAAUAUUCUCUUAAUUUUCUGAUUGAAGAUUGGUGAGUCGGAUAGGGACUAUGAUGUAUAGUUGGGAGUGUAGUCUGAAAAAUAUUGUAGGAUGGUCUUGUUUUAUAUUUCAAAUGAAACUGUUUACUUCCUUGGAUUCAACCAAAAACUGUCUACAAUUCAAGGAAGUGGAACAUUUUUAUUUUGAAUUUUAUAGUCUGAAAUUGCAUUUUAAAAGAUAAAGACUAUAUAUGAUCUAGUUUGAAGUUCAGCGCUGUCACUAGUUCGACAAGAAAAAAUCUAGAAAAUACGUUUAAUGGAUGCGCGCACUGGUGAUUAAAUAUAAUAAAAUACGAAACCAUCAAAACUUGAGUUUGAUUUACAUCUUAUUUAUUAUAUAUCUCGUAUAACAUUGUUUAUAUAAUUUAAGAUAAAAAUUGAUAUAUUAAUAUUAUUAUUGGUGUAUUUGUUUUAGAGUAUUUUCAACUCAUUUCUAUUUGUUCCUUCUGAAAUAAAAGAAUUCUGAAAUAAAUGUGAGUUUUACAUUAAUUUUUCUUUUUAAAAUAUUAUUUUGACGAGUAACUUUGUUUUGGAUUUUUUAUAUACUAAACCAUAGAUAGCAGUUACAAUGACUCGAGUGAAAUGUUCGCCAAUGAAAUAAAGAUGGAUGAGUAGGUAAAUUUUCACUCCUACGUGGUAUUAUCUUUCAAUAAGGGUUACAAUGUUUUAACUGUUUACUUUUCAAAGACAAUCUGCUCCUAAACCAAGCCGGAACACGUUUCUAGGUUUCUAGUUGUUAAUCGAUGCGUGUCGUAAUUAUGUCGGCGUCAUAAUAGCCAACUAUCUUACACAGUUACACUGUUCUCCUUUCUUACAUAAGUAACUUAAAAAAACAUAUAACUUAAGAGAUCAUAUGAGAAUUUUAAUAAUAAUUACAGUUGUGAAAAUAUAUAAAACAUCAAUUAGUUUUUUCCAACAAGAAGACAAUAUGUAGCUUGAAAUACACAUUCUUACCCAAAAAAAUAGGCCUCUAUAUAUCACGAGCCCCGUGUGGUUGCACUCAUUACCCUCCUAUCUAAGCCCUCAUGUAUAUCUUAAAGUUAUUUUAUUUUAAAAAUAAAAUUGAGUUGAAAAUAUUUGAAGUUAAUAAAUCUUUUAGCCUCUGGUUAUUGAAUUUUGGAGGAUUGAAGUUUACAGAAUAUAGGAUAUUAAUAUAUAAUUUUGUGUAUCUUCAAAAGACAGUGUCAUCUCCUUCCCCUAAUUAAUAUCACAGCAAAGGUUGUUUUGAUAAAUUGGGCAUCCGUAGGUCUAAGCAUGGCUCUGGGUGAGACACCUGGCAGGGUAGACGGAGCAGGCGAGUCGAUGAGUGAUCUAACGGCUGAGCAAUUAUUCAAGAUCAACGAGCUACAUAUGAAAACGGUGCAAGAAGAGAACAUGCUGACUAAGCAAUCGGCGACUUUACAAGAAGACACGGCGGAUAUGCCUAUCGCCGUCGCGGCGUUCCACAAAGAAAGGAUCGGAGAAGCCGACGUGGAGGUGGAGCGUGCGCUUGAUAAAUACGAGGACGAAAUGGCUCGUAUGUUAGCUGAAGCGGAUAAGCUGAGGUUAACCACUUUAACUAAAAUCGUUGAGAUCUUAACGGCGGUUCAAGCGGCGGACUUUCUACUUGCCGGGAAGAAACUUCAUUUGUCGAUGCAUGAGUGGGGCAGACAGAGAGAACGUCGCCUUCUUGAAGCUUGUGGUGAUGAUUCCGGUGGAGAAUUUUCAGGAGGGUAAACUUUGUAGGUCGGACGUUAUCAAAUAUGUAGUAGAGGAUAAUAACAACAAGACUAUACUAAUCUUGGCAUUAUAUAAUAUAAAAUCUUCGUUUUUGAAUUCCUAUUUUGUUCUCGUAUUUACUAAAGUAUUUUAAUACGUAGAUUAGAGGGUGAUAAGUAGAUACUCUGUAGUCAGUACCCAUACACGUGUGGUGUAAUAAGUUACAUUGCUCCUAUAUCAAACGUAUGUCGACGUGCGGCUGCGAAUGGUGGCGGUAACAUCCGGAAAUUAUAGGAUAGAUGAAAUUGACAAACAAAACGUACUGGUCACGGUAAAUUUACCACGUGGCGAUAAAACGGUUUAGACUGGACAGUUGGCAAUAAGAUUAUUAUAAGUCCGAUCGAUAUAAUAAUGUUUUAAAAAGUAAAUAAAAAGAUUGGACACAUAGUUGGACCACAAAAACUAAUUUUGAAAAUUCUUUGUAAAGAUAUAUAAUUAUGAUAGUUUUAUAAAUUAGUAAAUAUACUUACAUAUAAGUAAGAUAGUAUAUUAAAAUAAGUUUGAAAGGUUAUAUUAAAUAUAAAUUUUUUUUUACUAAAACAAAAUUUUAAGAAUCUAAUUUUUAAACUAUAUGCAAUAUUAAAAUUUAAUGUGUAGAAAUUUUUUAAUUUCUUCAUCAAUAUUAAAAUUAGUCCAAUGUACGAAGUUCAGAGGUACAAAAAGGCGAAUUUAUAAAAGUUCAUGAAUAAAUCUAUAGAAGUGUUUAGUUUAGUCUCUAAAUUGAAAUGGAGUCCAUGAAUAAAUUUUCUCUUUGGAUAUUCAAAUGAAAUCUGAAUCGUAGCCUCAAAUAAUAUGUAGAAUGGUUCUUUUUUUUUUUUUUGAACUUAUGUAGAAUGGUUCUUGCAAAUCUAGAUUGGUUAGUUUUCAAAAAUCUGAAGAUUAGAUCUAAUAGACAACGUAACUAUAGAUCCUCUAAAUUACUUAUAAAAAUAAUCGAAUUUAAGUUAAUAUAGAAAGAUGGUGUUAAUUGAGUUAAGAUAGAAGAUGCAUUGAAGAAAGACAAAAGGAAAGAUGUAGUGUUAUUUUUCGAUAUUUAAAGUAAAAAUAGCAUUUUUUAUAAAAUGAAAAACAUAAAAUUUAUCAUAAAUAAACAUGGGUUCUCAAUGAAAAUACUAUAACAAAAUAUCAUCUGUAAUUUAAAAUUCUUCCGUUACAAAAUAAAAAAUAGAGCUGAACUAAAAUUGGUGUUAGAACUAUCUUGGAACUAUCCAUAUACCAACAGAAAUAAUAUCACUAUGUAAGUAGUCAGGAGGUGCAAGUGCACAUACAUUAGCCCUACUUGGUUUAUCACUUUAGAGCGAAUUCAAUCACAUACCAGUUUAAUGUAGUUAAGAUAUACUGAUUAAUAGGAGUGAGAAUUUCUAUUAAAAAUACUCAUAUGAAAAAGAAAUUUCAAAAAGAUAGUUUAAUUUAUAAGACAAAAAUACAAAACAGUUUAAGCAACAAUGAUUUUUAUUAUACAAGCUAAACAAGACUAAUGAAAGAUAUAAGGAGCAUAAAGAUGAGUUGCUCCAUUUUUUUAAUAAUUUCUCUUAUACAUAUUCUUUUUCCCCGCAACUCCUAAUUUAUCUUAGAUAAUUUUCCUCCUCGCGAAUAUAUAUCUUUCACCAGUCCACCACACACACCUCUGGAAUAAAUGGUAUAAACGACUCCGUAUCCUUCGAUGUGAGACGACAACGUUUCGGUUUUGGGUUUUGGCAUAACUGAUGGAACCCAUGCGAGAAAAGCCUGAAAAUAAUCAAUAGUAGGGAGGCGGUGGAGGAGAAGCGUAUGAUACUCCGGGAAUAGGCGGUAGUGGUCCCUCGUAACCAGGAGGUGGCGGUGGUGGGCUAUGGUGAAUCACCGGAGGAGGUGGCGAAGAUGGCGGCGGACUAUAGUGGACGGACGGUGGUGGUGGAGGUGAGUUGUAGUAAACAGGUGAUGGCGGAGGAGUGUAAUGUACGGUCGGAGGCGGAGGUGGAGGUGGUGAGUGAUCUAUGCAAGGUGGCGGAGGGGAAUAUACUGGCGUUGGUGGAGGUGGUGGGGAUGGAUAGUGAUAAACCGGUGGUGGUGGUGAGUGCGGUGGUGGAGGUAACCAGUAAUGUGGCGGCGGAGGGGGUGAGCUGUAAUAGUAAGGGGUUGGUGGUGGUGAAAAUUGAGGUGGCUGUGAGGGAGAUGGUUGUGGUGGCUGCGGUGGGUAGUAUGUCGGCGGCGGAGGGGGUGGUGAAGGCGAAUAUGUUGGUGGCGCGGGUGAUGGAGGACAGUGACCUGCCGACGGUGGAGGUGAUGGAGGAG